rnacentral:rRNA from 1 species
AUUGAACGCUGGCGGCAUGCCUUACACAUGCAAGUCGAACGGCAGCGGACCUUCGGGUGCCGGCGAGUGGCGAACGGGUGAGUAAUGUAUCGGAACGUACCUUUCAGUGGGGGAUAACGUAGCGAAAGUUACGCUAAUACCGCAUAUUCUGUGAGCAGGAAAGCAGGGGAUCGCAAGACCUUGCGCUGAUUGAGCGGCCGAUAUCAGAUUAGCUAGUUGGUGAGGUAAAGGCUCACCAAGGCGACGAUCUGUAGCGGGUCUGAGAGGAUGAUCCGCCACACUGGAACUGAGACACGGUCCAGACUCCUACGGGAGGCAGCAGUGGGGAAUUUUGGACAAUGGGGGCAACCCUGAUCCAGCCAUGCCGCGUGAGUGAAGAAGGCCUUCGGGUUGUAAAGCUCUUUCGUCCGGGAAGAAAUCGCGUCAGCUAAUACCUGGUGUGGAUGACGGUACCGGAAUAAGAAGCACCGGCUAACUACGUGCCAGCCGCCGCGGUAAAAC